rnacentral:rRNA from 1 species
GCAAGUCGAACGAGGUGCUUUGUAGCAAUACGAAGUAUCCUAGUGGCGAACGGGUGAGUAACGCGUUGGUGACCUACCCCAAAGUGUGGGAUAACAGUCCGAAAGGAUUGCUAAUACCGCAUGUGGUUCUCAGAUUUAGAAACUGAUAACUAAAGGAGCAAUUCGCUUUGGGAGGGACCUGCGUCCCAUCAGCUAGUUGGUGAGGUAACGGCUCACCAAGGCGACGACGGGUAGGGGACCUGAGAGGGUGGCCCCCCACAAUGGAACUGAAACACGGUCCAUACACCUACGGGUGGCAGCAGUAGGGAAUAUUGCACAAUGGGCGAAAGCCUGAUGCAGCAACGCCGCGUGUGCGUUGAAGGCCUUCGGGUCGUAAAGCACUUUUCUGAGAGAUGAGAAAGGACAGUAUCUCAGGAAUAAGUCUCGGCUAACUACGUGCCAGCAGCCGCGGUAAAACGUAGGAGGCGAGCGUUAUCCGGAUUCACUGGGCGUAAAGCGCGUGCAGGCGGUUCGGUAAGUUGGGUAUGAAAUCUCCUGGCUUAACUAGGAGAGGUUAUCCAAUACUACCGGACUAGAGAGUGGUAGAGGAAGAUGGAAUUCCAGGUGUAGUGGUGAAAUGCGUAGAUAUCUGGAGGAACACCAGUGGCGAAAGCGAUCUUCUGGACCAUUUCUGACGCUCAGACGCGAAAGCUAGGGUAGUAAACGGGAUUAGAGACCCCGGUAAUCCUAGCCGUAAACGAUGUAAACUUGGUGUCGGUGGCUUUAACUCCUUCGGUACCGAAGCUAACGCGAUAAGUUUACCGCC